rnacentral:rRNA from 1 species
CCUGGUUGAUCCUGCCAGUAGUCAUAUGCUUGUCUCAAAGAUUAAGCCAUGCAUGUCUAAGUACAAGCCUCACUAAGGUGAAACCGCGAAUGGCUCAUUAAAUCACACCUAAUGUACUGGACAGUCUCAGUUACUUGGAUAACUGCGGUAAUUCUGGAGCUAAUACAUGCGUACUAGCCGCGACUCACGGAGCGGUGCUUUUAUUAGAUCAAAACCAAACGGCCUCGAGCCGUCCCCCUGGUGAUUCUGAAUAACUUUGGGCUGAUCGCACGGACUCGUUCCGGCGACGUGUCCUUCCAAGGUGUGCCCUAUCAACUGUCGACUGUGGCAUAGACGCCCACAGUGGUUUUGACGGGUAACGGGGAAUUAGGGUUCGAUUCCGGAGAGGGAGCCUGAGAAACGGCUACCACUUCUACGGAAGGCAGCAGGCACGCAAAUUACCCACUGGCCGAAGGCCGAGGUAGUGACGAAAAAUAACGAUACCGGACUCAUCCGAGGCCCGGUAAUCGGAAUGAGUACACUUUAAAUCCUUUAACGAGGAACAAUUGGAGGGCAAGUCUGGUGCCAGCAGCCGCGGUAAUUCCAGCUCCAAUAGCGUAUAUUAAAGUUGUUGCGGUUAAAAAGCUCGUAGUUGGAUCUCGGCGGGCAGGGGGUGGUUCGCUCUUCAGCGCUACUGCCCCGCUUUGCCCGUGUGAUUGGCGGAGGUUUCGGGGUGCUCUUCGUUGAGUGACUCGGAGCGCCGUCAGGUUUACUUUGAAAAAAUUAGAGUGCUCAAAGCAGGCUUUUCACGCUUGAAUAUUCGUGCAUGGAAUAAUGGAAUAGGAACUCGUUUCUAUUUUGUUGGUUUUCGGAAAUCGAGUUAAUGAUUAACAGGGACAAUUGGGGGCAUUAGUAUUCAGACGACAGAGGUGAAAUUCUUGGACCGUCUGAAGACUGACUACUGCGAAAGCAUUUGCCAAGAGUGUUUUCAUUAAUCAAGAACGAAAGUUAGAGGUUCGAAGGCGAUCAGAUACCGCCCUAGUUCUAACCAUAAACGAUGCCAGCUAGCGAUCUGCCGAGUUUUUUUUGUAGGCUCCGCAGGAAGCUUUCGGGAAACCAAAGCUUUUGGGUUCCGGGGGAAGUAUGGUUGCAAAGCUGAAACUUAAAGGAAUUGACGGAAGGGCACCACCAGGAGUGGAGCCUGCGGC